UCUUACUAUUAGACGUGUUUUAAAGACUCCAUCUGGUACGCAUUUAUAUUAUCUCAAGUGUCAAUUCACACUUUUAAGAACUUACUGCACCAUAGGCGCUUGUUCUUCUCCACCCUCUUUUUGCUACAGAAUUUAUGCCAUAUACCUUUGGUACACUGAGGAACGGAGCAGCCACCCUGAAGAGUGGAAGGUGCUGAUAAAGACUUAAUCAAGCCUAUUAAACUGUGAUUUCAGCCAUUUGUGGCUACCUUACUAGCAAAUUCAAAAAACUAUUCGGAGAAGGAUUUCUCAUUACGGUCGAUCCCUAAAGAAGCGCACGAGUCUAUACAUCUUUUCUAUAUAUUCAUGUAGUUCUGAAUGCAAGACAGGCUGUUGUUGGAGUCCUCUCAGAGAAGGCUAAGGCUAAAGGAGGUUUACCGCCAACAUUUUCAUGGUGCCGAAACCCGGGAAGCCAAGAAGUUGAAGUUGAACCGUUUAAACCGCGUUUUAUCCUCAGGACCUGAAAGAGCUUAUCUUGAACAACACAGCAUCCUGAUUGGCGAUUGGGUCUACCUAGAAAGACACGUGAGAGGAGCACUUGAGCCCAGAUAUGAUAGUCCUUUCCAAGUGUUGCUAGUGACACCCACCUCGGUGAAACUCGAGGGUCGAGACGCGUGGGUGCAUGCAUUGCACUGCAAAAAGACCAAGAUCACUAUUAAACCCCCAGGAAAGUAAUAACUAUGAAUUUACUUGGACCUAUGCCUGAUAGGUCCCUGUGGGGGGUUAUUUGGGAUCCGCAAUGUUGGUUGUUGCAAUUGUAUUUACUGUACAUUUGGUAAACACGCCUGUAAGUCAAAGCCCUACUCUAGCCCCUGAGAUAAGUACGUAAAAAUACCCUGUAACCAUGAAUAAAUAACCCUGAAGUGUAAGAAAGACAUGCAGUGUGGCCAAUACCACUGUGUGCAAAAAUGGAAGGCAGGGAUAAAUGUUUGUGUGAGUGUGGACAGGAACCACUGGAAAUAGCAAUGGAAUGUCAGACUAAAUGUAAAUUUGAUUACAGUACAUGGGGAAUAUACUUUGCAAGGUUACAGACAUGUUGGAAGUGUUACCCAGAAAACAGUUUGAAAUGGACAUGUAUGACUGGAUGUUGGACAAGGCCCUCCCUGCAUAAGAGUAACGAAUGGGCAUGGCUGUUAGAAGCCAGGCAAAGAGAGGGCAGUAAGAAAAAAUGCAGGAAAUAGAAGAUAUAAAACAGCAGUUUGUGAGAAAGGUGGAGGAAUCAUCAUGGACAUGGGGAGACUGGGAUUUUGGAUGGUUAAACCCUGCAAAUUUGGUUCAAGGGGAUUGGAGGAUGGUUAAUAUGCAUUGUUCUCCUAAUUGCAAAAGUAAAUGGAGUAUGUUUGUUGGUAUAUGUACUCAUACGUAUUAUUCUCUGUUGUAUUUCAUGCACUUCGAAAAAAGUAAAACGCAAGAUAAACAAAAAGAAACUUGCUAAACACGUAGGAUUCGAGCAUACAGAGGAAAUGGAUGAACGUGACCAAGAUGAAUAUGAUGAUAUUGAAUCAUGUAAUGACAGACCACCCGUCUACAAAAAUGAAAGCAAUCAAAAAAGACUGUAAAAAGGACUCUUAUGCAUCUAUGCCUUGUGACUAUUUUGUCUGUACGGGAUGGUUAUUACCCUCCCCUGGCAAUAGGCCCAGGGAGACAGACGUACUUGACCAGGUCAUCGCCUGGCCUGCUCGGCGAAGUAGGGUAGCGAGGUAUAGUGUGAUGUCUUUUUGAGAAUCAAAAGGAGGGAAAAUGAGGAAGGUAGAUGGGCAAGCAUUAGUAUGAUUCUGCAAUAAAGCCAAUGUUACUCCAUUUUGUUAUAUUCAAUACAUUAUAAGCUUACUUUAGCAUUAAUAUAUGAUAUGCUUAAAUAUGUUGGGGAAAAAAGAAAAGUAUAGAAAGAUGAAAUAUUCAGUUAGCAAAGAGAGGAACUUGUGGGUAAGCCAUAUCUGAUAGAGAUAAAGAAAAGAACAAGACCGUUAUCAGGAAGAGGACACAACCCUGAGGUUAAACUGUAAACUCCUCUGAGUUUUUUUCAAGUAUAUAUUCAUGUAUGUAAGAACAUUAAACCAGAACUCAGAUU